ensembl:lncRNA
GGUCCUUCGAGCCGGAUAGGUUGGCAGUUUUCCAAAUGGCGGCAUUAAGGGAAUAUGACGAAGAAGAGCAAGUUGUUCGUCCCAGGAGGCAUCACCGGCCCCCAGGACAUCUGGAUGACUACGUUCUGUCAUAUCAUUCCCAUGAGCCUGAUCCAGUAAUUUCAUAUCCAGAUAUGAACACUUUGAGCAGUAACACUGUAUCUGUACAGCGAACAUCAACUCCAAUGCAAGGUGCAGAAGCUGAGAGCUUACCAGAUAUGGACAGAUUGAUGAGGAUGGAGCGGUGCGUUUCACAAGUUCAAGAUCAGAUGAGGGAACUGCAGAAUACCCUCCAUGCAUCUCUUCAUCUCGGCAGAUCAACACUACAUGCUCAACUACCCCAGCAGGCACGUAGCCUCAGUAUGCCCCUAAUCACAGACCCUGAUAUGGGCAGCCUGAAGAACAUUGCCCCUUUCGCUUCAUUACCACAUAGUCCUGAGCAGACGACGGUACAGAGAGUUUCAUCCCCUGCAGUUCUGCCUGUCACUAUGCCAUCCGCUCCUCUUUCCACUACACCUGCCUUUGGUGGUGUGGGGAGCACAACACAGCCUGUUUAUGUCCUCUCUUCAGCCCAAAACGCAGCUCGACCAGCACCAGUGGUAUCAAGGCCUGCAGCGUCAGACCAUCCACAUCCGCCCUGGCAGCAGCAUCAGCAACAGAGAGGAUCAAACUGGCCCAUACCUUAUCCAGCCCGGUCUACACAGCCCUACAUGGGACAACCCAGUUUCCCAGAAAUAAUGCAGCCUCAGCCAUCUGCAUUUCCUUCUUAUCCUGUGCCACCUGUAGGCUCAUUACCCUGGACUUCAGGCCCUAUUGUGAGUAAUCCCCACUCUGCACAGGUUAUAUCUCCCGAUGUAAGCGCACAGUAUAUAUAUAGGGAUCCAGCAUUUCCCCCUCAGCCUCCUGCCAGUGCACAGCCUGGUGCUCUGCAGGACAUGUCACAUUACACCUCCCCCAUGUUAGCAGCUCAGAGGCCUAACUUGAUGGAGAUGGCUAUAUCCUCUUCUUAUGGUAUUCCUAAGCCUAGGUUAGUCAGUUUUACCACAGGGAAGGAGAGCGAUUUUCUCUUAUUGAAGAAAGGAUUAGACGGUGUUAUGGGCCCACAUCCACACCUUUCUGAGGAUUAUAAAUUCCAGGUACUGCUAGAUCACCUCAAGUUCCCAGCUGCUUUCCAGAUAGCUAAGAGAUAUGUCCAUGACCCUAUGCCGUACACUAAAUCAAUGCAGGCUCUGCAGCAGCGCUAUGGACAGCCACGACAGUUAGUCCAAAGUGAAAUAAAUAGCAUUCUUAGAGCCCCCACAGUGAGAGCAGGAGAUGCCCAGGGAUUUGAGGACUUCGCCUUAGCAGUUAGCAGUCUUGUCGGACUAUUGGACUCCUUAAAAGGAGCUGCCAAGAGUGAACUAGAAUGUGGCUCACACGUAGAUAGGCUGCUGAGUAAACUCCCCCCUUCUUAUCAGGAUAGUUUUGCUGAAUUUUGUUUAACCAGGGGUAUCUUGCAGAGUGACUCUGUCAACACAUACACACUCCCUGAUUUUGCCAGAUGGUUAGAGAGAAAAUCCCAAGCCAUUCAGAUCUCUAGGCGAGCCACAGAGAACUACACAGCUGAGAAACCUCGCUCAGACCGCAGAGAGAAACAACCCAAGCAGCUUAAGUCUUCCUCAUCCAUUUACUAUGGCACUGAGAAAGCCCCCACGCAUACUGCUGUUAACACAGAGAAUAAAGAUGGAAUUAAAGGCAAGAAAAGGGAGAAAUUUAAGCCAUAUUGUCCAUUUUGCAGUAGUACAGAACACUAUUUGAACUCCUGCCCAGAUUUUGUUAAGUUGAGUACUGCACAGGUUGUCAGCUGGAUAAAUGAAAAUAAAAGAUGCUGGAAAUGUGGUAGGGGACACCAGCCAGACAGCUGCACCCUUAAAAAGCCAUGUGCAACCUGUGGAGAGCAGCAUCUGCAGAUCCUCCAUGAGGCCUCCUCCAGCACUAACCGGAGUGUCCUGACACUGAGCACAGCAUCCAGCAUGGU